GACAUGUGGAGCGCUUAGAAGUGAGAAUGCCGGUGUGAGUAGCGAAAGACGGGUGAGAAUCCCGUCCACCGAUUGACUAAGGUUUCCAGAGGAAGGCUCGUCCGCUCUGGGUUAGUCGGGUCCUAAGCUGAGGCCGACAGGCGUAGGCGAUGGAUAACAGGUUGAUAUUCCUGUACCACCUAUAAUCGUUUUAAUCGAUGGGGGGACGCAGUAGGAUAGGCGAAGCGUGCGAUUGGAUUGCACGUCUAAGCAGUAAGGCUGAGUAUUAGGCAAAUCCGGUACUCGUUAAGGCUGAGCUGUGAUGGGGAGAAGACAUUGUGUCUUCGAGUCGUUGAUUUCACACUGCCGAGAAAAGCCUCUAGAUAGAAAAUAGGUGCCCGUACCGCAAACCGACACAGGUAGUCAAGAUGAGAAUUCUAAGGUGAGCGAGCGAACUCUCGUUAAGGAACUCGGCAAAAUGACCCCGUAACUUCGGGAGAAGGGGUGCUCUUUAGGGUUAACGCCCAGAAGAGCCGCAGUGAAUAGGCCCAAGCGACUGUUUAUCAAAAACACAGGUCUCUGCUAAACCGUAAGGUGAUGUAUAGGGGCUGACGCCUGCCCGGUGCUGGAAGGUUAAGAGGAGUGGUUAGCUUCUGCGAAGCUACGAAUCGAAGCCCCAGUAAACGGCGGCCGUAACUAUAACGGUCCUAAGGUAGCGAAAUUCCUUGUCGGGUAAGUUCCGACCCGCACGAAAGGCGUAACGAUUUGGGCACUGUCUCAACGAGAGACUCGGUGAAAUCAUAGUACCUGUGAAGAUGCAGGUUACCCGCGACAGGACGGAAAGACCCCGUGGAGCUUUACUGUAGCCUGAUAUUGAAAUUCGGCACAGCUUGUACAGGAUAGGUAGGAGCCUUUGAAACGUGAGCGCUAGCUUACGUGGAGGCGCUGGUGGGAUACUACCCUAGCUGUGUUGGCUUUCUAACCCGCACCACUUAUCGUGGUGGGAGACAGUGUCAGGCGGGCAGUUUGACUGGGGCGGUCGCCUCCUAAAAGGUAACGGAGGCGCUCAAAGGUUCCCUCAGAAUGGUUGGAAAUCAUUCAUAGAGUGUAAAGGCAUAAGGGAGCUUGACUGCGAGACCUACAAGUCGAGCAGGGUCGAAAGACGGACUUAGUGAUCCGGUGGUUCCGCAUGGAAGGGCCAUCGCUCAACGGAUAAAAGCUACCCCGGGGAUAACAGGCUUAUCUCCCCCAAGAGUUCACAUCGACGGGGAGGUUUGGCACCUCGAUGUCGGCUCAUCGCAUCCUGGGGCUGUAGUCGGUCCCAAGGGUUGGGCUGUUCGCCCAUUAAAGCGGUACGCGAGCUGGGUUCAGAACGUCGUGAGACAGUUCGGUCCCUAUCCGUCGUGGGCGUAGGAAAUUUGAGAGGAGCUGUCCUUAGUACGAGAGGACCGGGAUGGACAUACCUCUGGUGUACCAGUUGUCGUGCCAACGGCAUAGCUGGGUAGCUAUGUGUGGACGGGAUAAGUGCUGAAAGCAUCUAAGCAUGAAGCCCCCCUCAAGAUGAGAUUUCCCAACUUCGGUUAUAAGAUCCCUCAAAGAUGAUGAGGUUAAUAGGUUCGAGGUGGAAGCAUGGUGACAUGUGGAGCUGACGAAUACUAAUCGAUCGAAGACUUAAUCAAAUU
rnacentral:rRNA from 1 species